rnacentral:rRNA from 1 species
UCCGAAGGGGGCUAGCGUUGCUCGGAAUCACUGGGCGUAAAGCGCACGUAGGCGGAUUGCUAAGUCAGGGGUGAAAUCCUGGAGCUCAACUCCAGAACUGCCUUUGAUACUGGCGAUCUUGAGUCCGGGAGAGGUGAGUGGAACUGCGAGUGUAGAGGUGAAAUUCGUAGAUAUUCGCAAGAACACCAGUGGCGAAGGCGGCUCACUGGCCCGGUACUGACGCUGAGGUGCGAAAGCGUGGGGAGCAAACAGG